rnacentral:lncRNA from 1 species
GGGCAGCGAAAACAGAAACAGAUAUAGCAACGCAAAUCCAGCCGAUGACAGAGACUUGGAGGCUAGGGCGUUUAACCGCAAAAUGUGUAACCAUUAUAAUCAACGAGAAGAAAGCAACAUUCAUCGUCAAGAACAACUUAAUAGCCGCCAUCUGCAAUGCAUAAGAGAAUAUUUAGAUUCAUUAUUCUUGUAACAAAAUCAAAGGAGGACGCUGGGUAGAAUUAAGAAACUUACCUUUUUCUCCUUGGUAGCGUAAGUGAAGAACAUGGCAAUGUAGAUAGUCUCCACAACGCAGCCGAAAGAGUUGAUGGUAAUUAGGAGAAAAGCGUCUUGCUUAGUCAAUGCGUAAUAGAGCCAUAGCAUGCAGCUAAAUAGUGACACUUGGUACGGUAGAGACUGGAAACUUUCAGUCGAUUUGUUCUUGUAUAUUCUAUAAAACGUCGGCCUGCAAAAUUUCACAACAAAAAUAAGAGAAUAGUUUCUUAGCUAAUUAUUCUCAAAUAAUUAUUUUUAUAAAUAACUACUCCCUAAGAAAUUGCAUGUACUUACACGGGAGCCAGGAAUACAAGGAAGGAUAUUGCGUUUCCUGCCAUUUCAUUAGGAAAAAACAAUAAAAGAAUGAGUUGAUUGUAGAAUUAAAAGGCUUCUAGGUUUGUGGAGACAUGAAUGAAAACAACACAAGUUCUCUAACCAACCUCAACAGGAAUUAAAUUGCUGCAUUAACCGCACUACACGUACCGAGUAUAUGGACAACAAUGCGUGACGAUUUCAAUUUGUAAAGCUUUACUAUUGAUCUAUUUUCUGGUAGUUUAGGAUUUUAUUUACAAAAUUAGAAGAUCAUUAAUGACUCGUCUAUAUGUUUCUAAAUGAAGAAAAUUCUGGAAACGAGUACAAAAUAUAUGUACUUAUAUUAGUAGGUAGGUCAUGCAUGAUGAACUUCUCGUCUAAUUAAUGAACCGUACAAUUUAAAAUUAUUGAACUAGAAGACCCAUGGGCCAUGAGAGAUCGAAAAGAGAACAGCUAAGGAACAGACUAGGAUUUGGCUUUGUGAGUAUAUAUUAGUAUCGUUAAAACAUUACCUAAGAUGCCGAAGAUGAUAGCGAGCAAGUGGUGAUUGACCAUGACGCCCAUUUUCUAUAAAGAUCGAGAUGAAGCUUUUCCCGUACGGAGAUUUCUAAAGGGUCUCAGUUUUUGAAACCCUAAAGCUCUCGCUCUCCCCCUCUCUCUCUCUAAGAUGCUUGCUUCUUCUUAUUUCAUGGUGGAAACUAAUGAGUCUCAGGUGGUGUAUUUAUAGCUCCAAGAUAAUCAUUAUUGUCAAAUUAUUUUGAUUUUAAUUUUUUAAGUUAUUUGAAUCGUGUAACGUGUUUAGUAGUAUAAUAAAACAAAAUAAAAAAGAAUCGAAAAGGUAAAACGAACUCAGCCUGGUUGCAUGACAAGUGGAGAAAUUAGUAGGUAGCGUAGCAUUUUUUCAUUCACUAAACUCUUCUCCUUUUCUUCGACAACUUCAUUUUCUUCACGCCAUCUUCUUACACUAGCUUUCAAAAAUCAAUUAAAACCAAGUUUCGAAAAAUAAUCAAUUAAAACGAUAGUAAAUUUACACUUUAUACAAGACUGAUGAAUUUCAUGGUGACCAAAAGUCUACCCAACAAUCAACCAACAUAGUGGAAAUCAUCACUAGAAUGCGAUUAGUAUAUUUUCUUUUCAUCUUUUUAAUGUGUUAGUUCACAUAUGAUAUGAGUUGGACGAUCCAACAUAUCCCACCUAUCUAUUUGAUGGAUACAAUAGAUAUAGAUAUAGUUUAAAAUAUAAACAUAGAAUUUCAGGAUUACUCAUUGGCUAAAUAGUUUCAAAUUUGCUAACAACAAAUUUGGGACUUUUUUUGUUAAUUGGUAUAUGUAAAGGAGUAUAGGUGAAAUUAAUUAGUAAAGAUCUAAAACAGCUAGAAAUUUGUAGAUGAUGAUUAGGUUAAACCAAUGCAAUUUAUAGUAAAAUGCAUCUAUACGCAGAAAAUGGACGCCGUUUUCUUUAAACUUAUGGUAUUUUCUAUGAUUAACCAAAGUCGAAAAAGGGCAUUCACAUCCCCUGAUCAGAGUUCUCUGUAUAUAGACUCCCACGUUUUUUUGCCUUAUUACAAAAGAAGACGAUAAACCAUGCAUGUUUUAGGCAAAACUCCACCCGUCAAAAGGGAGCGUUGCGCGUGAGAAUGAUUAAGUGAUUUAAGGAGGUAAUGAAACAACAAAUGAUGCGUUACGGGAGAUGCAUAAUUAUUACUAAUAGCCUGAAAAAGGAAAAUCUUGUGCAAAUCACGUGACCUCUCCAAACGGUAUAGCGUUUCUUUUAGAGUUUGUAGAGUUCACACGAUAGCUAAAUGCCAUGUCAUCAUGAUGCUGACCAGGCCCUCUCUGCUUUCGUGUCUUCGGUAAUAUUUUCUGUUUCUAAACUUCUUCUCUUGUUUUAAUCCCCAAUUUCAGGACUCCCAUCAUUUUCUCAUAUUUAAUUUUGUAAGGAAGACAAAUUUAACGGUUAAAACAUUUGAUUUCAGUAACUCCAUAGUUCUUGUAUCACAAACUCAUUUGUUCUGAAACAUAGAGAAAAAAAACACAUUAAAGAAAAAAAAUCGAAAAUAAAAAAAUAAACAUUGGCAAAAAGAGUUAUGUACAUAAUUAGAUUACAUAUGAAUAAUAUGUACAUAACAUCUAACUGAUAUGAUGUUGCAAUAGGGCAAGAGGUGGGACUUUCUUAAUAACAAAAUUCUAAUUGAAGAUCCUGGAGAGUUGAGGAUGUUCAUGUAAACUUCUUUGGUCUUUUUUUAGUUUGGUGAUGUGUCACAUGUGGCAAUAUAUCGAUGAUUGAAUAACAAAGAUCCAAGAAUCAAGGUUAGUGUUUCUAGACUAUUUUCUUAUGUGUAGUUUUGGACAACGUGGCCGUAACAUGCCCAAUCUGACAAUUAUUUUUAAGGAUAGCAAUAGAUAUUGUAAGAAUAUGGUUGGUAAGUUUUUUACUCUCUUAAAAUGGGGUUUUUACUCUCUUGGAAUGGAUUUUUAUUUCCAAAAAUAUUGUUUUUACUAUGAAUGACUAUGAUCUCUAAAUAUUUGUAGGAAUUAUCAUGUACUCGAACAUUUUUGUGUUCGUUUUUUUUUUAGCAAAAUAAAUAAAGAAAAGACAGUCAGCAAAAAAAUUGUACAGUAUGAUUCUUUUGAAUUUUAUUAAAUUAUAUAUAUGACUAAAUUAUUUUGUUUGUUUUUUGCAAAAAAAGUGUAUUCAUUUAUAGAUGUGACAAAAUAUAAAUGACUCAAUAUAAUUUAAUCAUUUAUUAUUAAUUUGAUUUCUCGCCACUAUUUUUAGUCAUCAUACACAGACUGAUCGUCACUGAUUAGUUAUUGAUGAUGUAAUUCAGCUUGGCAUUGUACAAACGUUCCAGGAAUUAUACGUUAGCUAGCACAGACAACCUUUACCGAAACAUUGCGGUAAGUUUUAACGCCAAAAAAAACAUAGGACGUACGUCUGAAAUUUAUUUGAUUUUCCCUAUACAUAAUCCAUCAUGAGGCUCGCAUUUAAAUUAAACUUGAAUAUAAUAUUAAGAUUUAGUUGGAUUAUAUAUAUACUUGAGGCGGGUAGUAUGUUAUCUAUAGCUUAGCUUUAUAUACAGCAUUGGGUAGCUGUAGCUGAUGCACUGGUAUAAGCAGCAUUAAACUAUAGCUCAAUAGUAUUUUUCUACCGUUUUAAUAUAAAAACCACGUUUCAGAAAGAAUAUUAUACACAGUGAUACUUUUAUGCAACUCAUUACUUCAUUUUAUGUUGACCAAAGAAAACUUCGUCGGAGAGUUUGUCACCAAUAUGGUCUUGUAGAAUUCUUUUUCUGAUGGCGACGCCAAAUGAAAGUAGGUACUCAGAAAGCUUAUUAGUAGAAGUAAUCAAUUUAUAUUUAAUUUUGUAAGAGCGCUAUAGAUACAAUAUUACGAAGAUAAUAUAUUCACUUUAUUUUUUUAUUUUUUUGGAACACAUUUUCACUUACUUGAAACACAAAACUUUAUGCAAGCACAUAUCAAUAACAAUAGAUAAGAUACGAAACAAUGGAAACAACAACCGAUACAGUUUCAUUCUUUAGCCGACCGACGAGCCAAGAGUAAGAAGAGAGAGAGAGAGAAAGAGAGAGUGAGUGAGAUAGAUAUGUGUUUGCUUGGUGAAAUAUCCUGACGACACUUCAAAUUCGAGACGGGGCAGUCUCCACAUGGCUUUGUGCGGCUUCAGUUGACGUCUCCUCCUCUUUAGUAAUUUUGGAUGGAUCUUCAUGAUGAACAGUGUAAGAGAGUGGAAUCACCGGUUCCGUCACCGUGACAUCAACUGGGUGCAUUUCCGACAAACCUAACGGACUCAUCACAACAAUAGUCUUAAGUUGUUCUGAUGAACUGUUAUUCUUUUUCCCAAUAUCUAAUUUCUCCCCUGAGUUUCUGUAAACUCCAUACAAAACCAUUUGUACCAACCCUAGUAUGAAUCCCACCACGUUUGGAAUCUACAAAAAUCAUUUUCCAAAAUCUCAGUAACCUCUUUUUACCUUUGUUUUUUUUUACCAAAAACAUGACACUUAUGAAAAUAAAUGCUUACAGCAAUGCAUAUGUCGUGGAGAAAUGCGCCAUAUGCGAACCACAUAACAGCGCUUAUAGUGAGGAAGAAAGAAAGCGUGAAGGGCAUGAACUCCACACUCUUGGUCUUUAUCACACGAGCCUUUUGUACAACCAAAAAAACAUAAAUCAACAUUAUGUUACCCAAAAGUUCUGAUUUGUUUUGAAAUAAAUUUGUGAAUUUAACAAAACACAAAACGCGUAGUUACCACAAUCAUUAGAGGGGCAGCGAAAACAGAAACAGAUAUAGCAACGCAAAUCCAGCCGAUGACAGAGACUUGGAGGCUAGGGCGUUUAACCGCAAAAUGUGUAACCAUUAUAAUCAACGAGAAGAAAGCAACAUUCAUCGUCAAGAACAACUUAAUAGCCGCCAU